rnacentral:rRNA from 1 species
UACGGGGGGUGCGAGCGUUGUCCGGAAUCACUGGGCGUAAAGGGCGCGUAGGCGGUUUGGUUUGUUAGGUGUGAAAUUCCUGGGCUUAACCUGGGGGCUGCACUUAAGACGGCCAGGCUUGAGUGUGAAAGAGGGUCGUGGAAUUCCCAGUGUAGAGGUGAAAUUCGUAGAUAUUGGGAAGAACACCUGUGGCGAAGGCGGCGACCUGGUUCAUUACUGACGCUGAGGCGCGAAAGCGUGGGGAGCAAACAGG